GACGAACGCUGGCGGCGCGCCUAACACAUGCAAGUCGAACGGAGCUGAGAGAAGCUUGCUUUUCUUAGCUUAGUGGCGAACGGGUUAGUAACGCGUGAGUAACCUGCCCUGUAGUGGGGGACCACAGUUGGAAACGACUGCUAAUACCGCAUAAGCCCACGAUCCGGCAUCGGAUUGAGGGAAAAGGAUUUAUUCGCUUCAGGAUGGACUCGCGUCCAAUUAGCUAGUUGGUGAGGUAACGGCCCACCAAGGCGACGAUUGGUAGCCGGACUGAGAGGUUGAACGGCCACAUUGGGAAUGAGACACGGCCCAGACUGAUACGGGAGGCAGCAGUGGGGGAUAAUGCACAAUGGGGGAAACCCUGAUGCAGCGACGCCGGGUGGAGGAAGAAGGUUUGCGGAUUGUAAACACCUGUCGUUAGGGACGAUAAUGACGGUACCUAACAAGAAAGCACCGGCUAACUACGU
rnacentral:rRNA from 1 species